rnacentral:rRNA from 1 species
CCUACGGGGGACUGCAGUGAGGAAUAUUGGUCAAUGGACGAGAGUCUGAACCAGCCAAGUAGCGUGAAGGAUGACUGCCCUAUGGGUUGUAAACUUCUUUUAUAUGGGAAUAAAACGUUCCACGUGUGGGAUUUUGUAUGUACCAUAUGAAUAAGGAUCGGCUAACUCCGUGCCAGCAGCCGCGGUAAUACGGAGGAUCCGAGCGUUAUCCGGAUUUAUUGGGUUUAAAGGGAGCGUAGGUGGAUUGUUAAGUCAGUUGUGAAAGUUUGCGGCUCAACCGUAAAAUUGCAGUUGAAACUGGCAGUCUUGAGUACAGUAGAGGUGGGCGGAAUUCGUGGUGUAGCGGUGAAAUGCUUAGAUAUCACGAAGAACUCCGAUUGCGAAGGCAGUUCACUGGACUGCAACUGACACUGAGGCUCGAAAGUGUGGGUAUCAAACAGGAUUAGAUACCCGUGUAGUC